GACCUCUGGCACAGAGGCCUGGCAGGGCUUUGCCAAUCGAGGCUGAUCCUUCCCUCAAGGGCAUGAUGAGGAUUCUGAGAGACGGCAGAAGGACCAGCAAGCUGGUCAGGGCUCUCCAACAUCAUCCCCCACGGCAGAGCCAUCAGCCACCAGGACACCACCCAAGGUCAAGUCCACUUACAGACAUCCACCUGACUACAAAGAUGCUGCUGGAGGAAUUUUGUCUGUUUUGCUCACAGCUGCAUCCCCAACACCUGUAACAGUGUCUGGCCCAUAGUAGGUGCUCAAUAAACACUUGUUAAUAA
rnacentral:lncRNA from 10 species